CCUCAAGAGAUCUAAAGCUUGUUUUUUAAAAUGUCUGCCUGAAUGAGUUUAAUAAUAAGAGAAUUUAUUGAAUCUUCUGGCAAACUCCUUUGAUCCAUGUUGGAAGACUGGAUGCCACGAAGGGAAAGGGUUCUUGAAGGAAAAUGAUGCAGCCAAAUCAGAAAGUGGUUAUUAGGCAUCUAUAAUACAAGUGUGGAAUUCAGAUGGACACACUGACCAUUUUUUGAGUGUUGUUUGCAAGAUUGGGGACUUCUUUUUCGUGAUUU